rnacentral:rRNA from 1 species
CAGCAGCCGCCGCGGGAAUACGGAGGAUCCGAGCGUUAUCCGGAUUUAUUGGGUCUAAAGGGUGCGUAGGCGGCCUGUUAAGUCAGGGGUGAAAGACGGUAGCUUAACUAUCGCAGUGCCUUUGAUACUGACGGGCUUGAAUGUAGUUGAGGCAGGCGGAAUGUGACAAGUAGCGGUGAAAUGCAUAGAUAUGUCACAGAACACCAAUUGCGAAGGCAGCUUGCUAAAGUAAGAUUGACGCUGAGGCACGAAAGCGUGGGGAGCGAACAGGAUUAGAUACCCGGGUAGUCCCUGUCUCUUAUAC